rnacentral:tRNA from 1 species
UAGCCUAGUGGUUGAGGCUAUGGAUCACCAAUCCGGAGACUGCGGGUUCGAUUCCCGU